rnacentral:rRNA from 1 species
UACGGAAGGGGCAAGCGUUGUUCGGAAUCAUUGGGCGUAAAGGGCGCGUAGGCGGUUUGUCGCGUCUGCCGUGAAAAUUCGAGGCUCAACCUCGAACUUGCGGUGGGUACGGGCAGACUAGAGUGUGGUAGGGGAGACUGGAAUUCCUGGUGUAGCGGUGAAAUGCGCAGAUAUCAGGAGGAACACCGAUGGCGAAGGCAGGUCUCUGGGCCACUACUGACGCUGAGAAGCGAAAGCAUGGGGAGCGAACAGG